rnacentral:rRNA from 1 species
AUUAGGAAUCUUGCGCAAUGGGGGCAACCCUGACGCAGCGACGCCGCGUGAAGGAUGAAGUCCUUCGGGAUGUAAACUUCUUUUCUCAAGGAAGAAGAAUGUGACGGUACUUGAGGAAUAAGCCCCGGCUAACUACGUGCCAGCAGCCGCGGUAAUACGUAGGGGGCGAGCGUUGUCCGAAUUUACUGGGCGUAAAGAGCGCGUAGGCGGGCUCUUAAGUGAGAGGUGAAAUUUUCGGGCUCAACCCGAAGCGUGCCUUUCAUACUGGGAGCCUUGAGUGUGGGAGAGGCGAGUGGAAUUUCUGGUGUAGCGGUGAAAUGCGUAGAUAUCAGAAGGAACACCCAUGGCGAAGGCAGCUCGCUGGCCUACAACUGACGCUGAGGCGCGAAAGCGUGGGGAGCAAACAG